UACAGAGACUGCAAGCGUUAUUCGGAUUCACUGGGCGUAAAGGGUGCGCAGGCGGCCGUGUGUGUGAGGUGUGAAAUCCCGGAGCUUAACUCCGGAACUGCGCCUCAACUACACGGCUAGAGCAUUGGAGAGGGAAGUGGAAUUCACGGUGUAGCAGUGAAAUGCGUAGAUAUCGUGAGGAACACCAGAGGCGAAGGCGACGUUCCCUGGACAAUUGCUGACGCUCGAGGCACGAAAGCGUGGGGAGCAAAAGGG
rnacentral:rRNA from 1 species